AGAUUACAAGGACUCUUCGUAUUCUAGGGCUCUUGGGGAUUUCGAAGAGCUCUAUAGUGGAGGACGAUCGCGCUACCGAGCUAGAGUUUGCCGAGCUAGCCGAGGUAAGAGAGCUCUAAGAUCUCCUUUGCUAGAGCAAUUCCCUACACAAGUUUUUCUCUGAGAAAUUGCUUGGAUGACAAUGAAGGAUGCGCGGCUUGGAUCUCUAGUGGCCGCAUUUUCACGAAUGAGAGGUAAAUCGCUAUAUAAUCUUCCCCUGCUGAUAGAUUUCUCUUGCAGGGCGUGAGUUUCUUUUGAGCAGGAACUUCGAAGGAAUACAAAAGAAGGAAAAUUCUUUGCGAUCAACAGAGAAGCCGCCUAGUUCUCCUGGAAGACAUGUCCGACCUCAUCCUCUUGCAAA
rnacentral:lncRNA from 1 species